rnacentral:misc_RNA from 1 species
GAUGAAGAACGUAGCGAAAUGCGAUAAGUAAUGUGAAUUGCAGAAUUCAGUGAAUCAUCGAAUCUUUGAACGCACAUUGCGCCCGCCAGUAUUCUGGCGGGCAUGCCUGUCCGAGCGUCAUUUCAACCCUCGAACCCCUCCGGGGGGUCGGCGUUGGGGAUCGGCCCUCCCUUAGCGGGUGGCCGUCUCCGAAAUACAGUGGCGGUCUCGCCGCAGCCUCUCCUGCGCAGUAGUUUGCGCACUCGCAUCGGGAGCGCGGCGCGUCCACAGCCGUUAAACACCCAACUUCUGAAAUGUUGACCUCGGAUCAGGUAGGAAUACCCGCUGAACUUAAGCAUAUCAAUAAGCGGAGGA